rnacentral:rRNA from 1 species
GCUGGCAGCUAGCUCUCUGCAACUCUCACAUGGUCACCCAUUUAAGCUAAGCAGAGCUGUGCCUGGUCAGUACAUGGAUGGGAGACCACAUGGGAAAGCUAGGUUGCUGCUGGAA